rnacentral:rRNA from 1 species
UACGGGGGGGGCAAGCGUUGUUCGGAAUUACUGGGCGUAAAGGGUUUGUAGGUGGCUUGCUAAGUCAGACGUGAAAUCCCUCAGCUUAACUGGGGAACUGCGUCUGAGACUGGCAAGCUUGAGUACAGGAGAGGAACGCGGAAUUCCAGGUGUAGCGGUGAAAUGCGUAGAUAUCUGGAGGAACACCGGUGGCGAAGGCGGCGUUCUGGACUGUAACUGACACUGAGGAACGAAAGCCAGGGGAGCAAACGGG